rnacentral:rRNA from 1 species
UGGGGAAUUUUGGACAAUGGGGGAAACCCUGAUCCAGCCAUCCCGCGUGUGCGAUGAAGGCCUUCGGGUUGUAAAGCACUUUUGGCAGGAAAGAAACGUCGCGGGUUAAUACCCCGCGAAACUGACGGUACCUGCAGAAUAAGCACCGGCUAACUACGUGCCAGCAGCCGCGGUAAUACGUAGGGUGCAAGCGUUAAUCGGAAUUACUGGGCGUAAAGCGUGCGCAGGCGGUUCGGAAAGAAAGAUGUGAAAUCCCAGAGCUUAACUUUGGAACUGCAUUUUUAACUACCGGGCUAGAGUGUGUCAGAGGGAGGUGGAAUUCCGCGUGUAGCAGUGAAAUGCGUAGAUAUGCGGAGGAACACCGAUGGCGAAGGCAGCCUCCUGGGAUAACACUGACGCUCAUGCACGAAAGCGUGGGGAGCGAACAGGAUUAGAUACCCUGGUAGUCCACGCCCUAAACGAUGUCAACUAGCUGUUGGGGCCUUCGGGCCUUGGUAGCGCAGCUAACGCGUGAAGUUGACCGCCUGGGGAGUACGGUCGCAAGAUUAAAACUCAAAUGAAUUGACGGGGUCAUAGCUGUUUCC